GACAGCAGCCGCCGCGGUAAUACGUAGGGUGCUAGCGUUGCUCGGAAUUACUGGGCGUAAAGGGAGCGUAGGCGGAUCGUUUAGUCAGGGGUGAAAUCCCGGGGCUCAACCUCGGAACUGCCUUUGAUACUGGCGAUCUUGAGUAUGGGAGAGGUGUGUGGAACUCCGAGUGUAGAGGUGAAAUUCGUAGAUAUUCGGAAGAACACCAGUGGCGAAGGCGACACACUGGCCCAUUACUGACGCUGAGGCUCGAAAGCGUGGGGAGCAAACAGGAUUAGAUACCCCUGUAGUCCCUGUCUCUUAUAC
rnacentral:rRNA from 1 species